UACGGGGGGGGCUAGCGUUGUUCGGCAUUACUGGGCGUAAAGGGUUCGUAGGUGGCCUACUAAGUCAUACGUGAAAUCCCUCAGCUUAACUGGGGAACUGCGUCUGAGACUGGAAGGCUUGAGUGCAGGAGAGGAACGCGGAAUUCCAGGUGUAGCGGUGAAAUGCGUAGAUAUCUGGAGGAACACCGGUGGCGAAGGCGGCGUUCUGGACUGCAACUGACACUGAGGAACGAAAGCCAGGGGAGCAAACGGG
rnacentral:rRNA from 1 species